GCUUAACGCGAAGAACCUUACCAAGGCUUAAAUGGGAAACGACGGAUCUGGAAACAGGUCUUCCUUCGGGGCGUUUUUCAAGGUGCUGCAUGGUUGUCGUCAGCUCGUGCCGUGAGGUGUCAGGUUAAGUCCUAUAACGAGCGCAACCCCUCGUUGUUAGUUGUCCAGCGAGUCAUGUCGGGAACGUCUAGCAAGACUGCCGGUCGCAAACCGUAGAGGAAGGUGGGGUAGUGACGUCAAAUACAUCACGGCCCUUACCGCCUUGGGUCGUACACACGUGCUACAAUGGACGGUACAGAGAGCAGCCAGUGGGUGACCACGAGCGAAUCUACAAAACCGUUCUCAGUUCGGAUCGGAGUCUGCAACUCGACUCCGUGAAGCUGGAAUCGCUAGUAAAUCGCAUAUCAGCCAUGAUGC
rnacentral:rRNA from 1 species